rnacentral:lncRNA from 14 species
UGUGUGGGUGUCCCAAAGCACCCAUUGGGGUCCCAGAGGACCAGUUGGGGGUCUCAGAGCAUUAAUGGGGUGUCCCAAAGGAUCUGUGGGGUGUCCCAGAGCACCCAUGGGGGUGCCCCAGAGCAUUAAUGGGGUGUCCCAAAGCACUCAUGGGGGUCCCAAAGGACCAGUUGGGGGUCCCAGAGCACCCAUGGGUGCCCCAAAGCAUUAACAGGGUGUCCCAGAGCACCCAUGGGUGCCCCAAAGGACCAAUUGGGUGUCCCAAAGCAUUAAUGGGGUGUUCCAAAGGAUCUGUGGGGUGUCCCAAAGCACCCAUUGGGGUCCCAAAGCAUUAAUGGGGUGUCCCAGAGCACCCAUGGGUGCCCCAAAGGGGGGUCCCACAUCCCCCAUGUGGUCACCCCCAUCACUCAGUUAGCCAAGAAGUCAAUGGUUGCCCUCACGGUCUUGGCCGUGCUGACAUCCACGGCCGUCACCUUGAUCUCGGUGUCCCCAAACUGCAUGGACGCCCGGAUCUCCCUGCGCGCUCCCAUGUGCCGGCACUGCCGCUCCAGCUCCAGGCUGACGGUGCCGCAGCGGCGCACGCCGGGGUCGGUGAUGUACCGCGCGCUGUCAUCGGCGCUGCAAUAGACGUUAAUGACGGUGCGGCGCUGGCCCGGCCGCGCCGGGCAGUAACUGCGCUCCACCACCUCUCCCAGCGCCACCGACUGGUCCACGGCCACGAAGCGCUCGAAGACGUCGGUGCACCACAUGCGCCCGCCCUUCACCAGCAGCUUCUCGCGCGGGUGCUGCCCCUCCACGAAGCGGUUGAGGACCCCCACGCCGUAGGACAGGGGCGAGCGCCGCACGCGCACCACGGUGGGGUCGAGGCCGAAGAGCACGGCGCCCUUGAGGAUGGUGAGCCCCACGUCCUGCGGCACCAGGACGCGGCACGUGGAGCCGAACGCCUCCUGCGCCGCGCGCUGCAGCAUCGGGGACUCGGCGAAGCCGCCAACCAGGAACAGGAACUUGAUGCCUUGGACCUCGGGUUUCUUGAGGAGGGUGUCUGGGGAGGGAGAGGAUGGGGGAUGCUGUGGGUCAGGGAGGGGAAAGGGGGAGACCUUGAAGGUCAUUGAGUGGAACCAUUGAGG